AGAAUUUGGCGGUAUCUAAGUCUAGUUAGAGGAACCUGUGCUGUAAACGAUAAACCACGAAUAUCUUACUCCGUCUUGAGAUGGCAGCUCGUAUACCGCCAUUGUUAUUGAUAAUCUUUGAAGAGGUUUAUUGAGAUAGAUUUAUAAUUUAGUAUAUUAGGUCAAGGUGCGGCUAAUGAUGGAGAAGUCAUGGGUUACAUUGAUAUUAGUAAAUACGGAUGAAUUCAGUAGGAUGUGAAUUCUGUAAGAUGGAUUUAAUAGU
rnacentral:rRNA from 1 species